rnacentral:tRNA from 1 species
GCGGGGGUUGAGUAAACGGUUAACUCACCAGACUCAUUAUCUGUGGAUGUAGGUUCGAAUCCUGCCCUCCGCG